GUGCUUGUUUUGGCAGCACAGACUCUAAAACUGGAAUGAAAUAGAGAAGAGUAGGUAGCAUGGCCUCUGUGCAAUGAUGACACACAAAUUUGUGAAAUGUUCCAUGUUUUU
ensembl:snRNA U6 U6 spliceosomal RNA